CACGUAGGCGGAUCGGUAAGUCAGAUGUGAAAUCCCGGAGCUCAACUCCGGAACUGCAUUUGAUACUGCCAGUCUUGAGUGAGGUAGAGGGGGGUGGAAUUCCCGGUGUAGAGGUGAAAUUCGUAGAUAUCGGGAGGAACACCAGAGGCGAAGGCGACCCCCUGGGCCUUUACUGACGCUGAGGUGCGAAAGCGUGGGGAGCAAACAG
rnacentral:rRNA from 1 species